AAACAACGCGAAAACCCACUGCCAUACAUAAGCGGUCGUGCACAUACUUCGCACACAUACACACUCACACGCGCGUGUGCGUGGGCCGCGGCAAAAAAAAAAGUGCGGGGACAAGGUGUCCGUGGAAGGGAUGAUGUGGGCGCGUGUUGCGACGCAUGCUCUUCUUCGUCUGUUCAGCUUCUAGAUCCAUCACUCCCUCCCCCUCUUACCUCCCUCCCUCCUCAUCUCAUCCUACGCGUACUGGCCCGCCGUUUGGGGGAAGCAUCUAGCAACAGCAGCGGCGCCCUUCCCCUCCCCUUUUUUCUUCCGUUGUUGUUGAAGCUGAGUCUUUUGGCACGAACCCACGCUCGCAUGCCCUCGUCACCCAGUGCGCCGCAACGGAAGCAGCAGCAGCAGCAGCCAUGGACCUUCUCGGCGUAUCACACAGUGGUGCUCACAAACUUUGUGAGCGCCCUCCAAGCUGAAGUGCGUUGUCAACAAGACGCCUACGACCACGCGGUGGAAGUGCUUCACACGAGCGCGGACACGAUCCCAACCAGCGGCAUGCUGAAGCUUGGCAUUCCCCUGUACGACACACAUGAAGAACAGAUACAGGCGCUGCAAGACAAGUACGCGCUGGCCACACUGGAGACCGGGGCGCUUGUCGCGCUGGGGCCUUACCGGCUGCUGCACACGCUGAAGGCACACGUGACGCGCAUCGAAGACGAGCGUCGAGCGGGCGCCGUGGCGGCAGGAAACGGCGGAGGUGUACGGAAGAUGCGCGUGGGCAGGGCUCCAUUUGUGCGCAAGUCGAAGACGAGCAUCGACACAGCAACUCUGGAUGGAGGCAAGGCUGGUCAGACGCCACAGCGUCGCGGCGUGCCUCCGAUGUCGGUGCGAAUCAAGGAGGAGCGCAUCGACGAUGACAAGCGCAGUGGAGUCGCACAGCAGCGGCAGUCUCUCAGCGAGCAUUCUCCUCUCGUUUCACAGUCACCGCUCUCUACUGCCGCGACGGUAGCCAAGACGGAGAACCCCAGCGCUAAAGGCGCCAGUGUGAGCUCUGCCGGCGGCGCUGGUGGAGGCGGCUGGGGCGACGGAUGCCCUCCCUCAUGGAUGACGCUCAAAGCAGAAGCGGCAGAGCCACCACCGUCGAGUGAGACCUAUAACGGCGCUUACUUCGUCCCCUGCCCCACUCCGGCAGGCGCACCAAUCGCCCGCUACGUGUCCUCGUCGGUUUGUUUGCUUUCCGCCAACAACGCAGCGCAGUCACCGUCCGCGCCGCUGCCCCCGCUUGUCGCACCCGUGAACUGUGGGACUAAAGUAAUGAGCAGUGCAAGCAAAAAGAAGCGUCCGGCAGCGUUGCCGUCGCAGGCACCCAAGCGGUGUCGCUCGGUGACCAUGUCGCAAGCGAACGCUGUUGCCACCGACGAGACGCCGUUUCUCUCGCAAGCGCAGCGGGCAAAGAUCGUCCGCAUGCAGGAGCACGUGCAGUUCCUCGGUCAGGCAUCGCCUCCUUCAUCCCCUUCGAAAGAGAAGCUGGAGGGCGACCGUGCACUGCGACUGUGGUGGCGCGUGUGGCCCAGCUCUCCAUCGUUGUUGCCGCCAGACGCAGAAGAGAGUGGGCGGCAACAACGCGCCGCAGCAGCGCCGCCUCCCGCCCAGCACGCGUGCGUUCGGCCGACACCUGCCAUGGUCGCUGCGCUGAUCCAAGUUGCUGAGCAAAACUACAAGCGGGAUUGUGAGCGCUGCGCGGCGCAGCAGGCGUAUCUCGCGACGCUGCUAGUCGCGGCGGAGUCUCUGAGGGUGGGCGGUGCUGCAGCGGGCACGGGCGACACAGGGAACGCUGGGCAAGCGCCUAUGGAAGCAACGCUGGAGUCACUGCAUCCAAAAGCCGUGCGCCAACUUCAAGACGAGCUAUCGAGCAAGCAAUCGAAGCUCGGCAGUGCGUACGCCGAGCGGCUGGCACUUUUACGAGAGUUGGCCGAAGCGCUGCGCGAUGAAUCUGCUGUGUGCGUCGACGAGGCCACAGCGUCUGAGGCUGGUGAGGUGAAGCAUGCUGCCCCUUCCUCGACGCCUCACUCGCAAUACCGCGCCGCAUCGCCAUCGAGCAAUCGAAAGAGAAGCCGGCGGGCUAGUUCGACUCGCCAUGCGACUCGAUCCUCCCCCACAGCUGUCGACGUUGAAGUGUUGGAUGCUGACCGCCGCGGCGGGGAGCAAGCGGUGGCCAAUGCAUCGACGAGGAGCGCAGCGGCUGGCGCAUCCGCUCUGGAACUACUUCACUCCUCUCUCACAGACCCCGCAUCUCUGAUGCGAAAAGUCCACAAGGCGCGCGAAUCCCUUGCGUUCUUUUCCAGCGAAACGUCUUCCGCGGAGGUAACGCUGGGGUCGCGCUCGCAGGCCUCCUCUGAGGAGGCCUUGGAUCUGCCAAACGGCAUUGUCGGUGUCAAUUUGCCGUCCUUGGAGCACGACCGCAACGCGCCUGAGCUGGCGGAGUACCUCUGGCCAGAGGAUCUGGAUGCCCGCAUCCGGCAUGAGCUGCGCGGCGUUGUGAGUGUCAAAAGCCGCAACCCCGAAGCGAGCAGUAUUCACGUAGUUUUAUCAGCGGCGCGAGUGCAGCAGCUCGAGGAGACGGCGCGCGCCGUGUCCACCGUGGACCCUGUUUCUCAACUACGGACGGUGGUGCCACCGCUGGUGGUUGGCAGCAUCAUGGCGCACCCCAAGUUUGUCGAAAACGGCUGGCUCUACGUGCACGGGCGUGGCGAGACGAUUGUCGCCGACGUGGAACUCAACUAACGCGUAAGGGGUCCCUGCCUUCUGGCGGUGCUGCAUCUCUGUCCGAGUCAUCUCAGCAAGUGUCGUACUCCUCGUGCGCGGGGACCGCGGUUGAGGGGCAGGGAGAAAAGAAGACUGGGCGUAUCAUGAAAGUGGUGCCGGCGUGUGUCUGGGAGGGAAAUGAUAAAAGCUCCUGCAGCACACUCCAUACCUUUGCUUGCCACAUGGGCCAUUAC
rnacentral:misc_RNA from 1 species